CGGAAGCGCGCGUGGCGGCCGAGCCGGUCCCUUUUGGCUUGUCACAAAGAGCAGCCAUGGAGAAGUGGAGCUUAAUGACAGUUGCUGUGUUACUGGCACUUACUGUGCGCUGGGCUGUGUCUCUGGGCUCCUACUCAGGUGCAGGAAAACCACCUAUGUAUGGAGACUAUGAAGCUCAGAGGCACUGGCAAGAAAUUACUUACAAUUUACCCAUCAGGCAGUGGUACUUCAACACAAGUGAUAACAACCUCCUGUACUGGGGCCUUGAUUAUCCACCUCUCACAGCCUAUCACAGUUUUGUCUGUGCUUACAUUGCCAAGUUCAUAAAUCCUGACUGGGUUGCCCUGCACAGCUCCCGGGGCUACGAGAGUCAGCCACACAAGCUCUUUAUGAGGACAACAGUGUUUGUUGCUGAUUUGCUGGUUUAUAUUCCUGCAGUUAUUUUAUAUUGUUCUUCCUUGAAAGAAACAUCUGCUAAAAAGAAGGUUUCCAGUGCUCUCUGUAUCCUGCUUUAUCCAGGCCUCAUUCUUAUUGACCAUGGACACUUCCAAUACAACUCAGUGAGCCUCGGUUUUGCCUUGUGGGGUGUCCUUUGUUUGUCCCAUGACUGGGACCUCCUGGGCUCGGUGGCCUUUUGCUUGGCCUUAAAUUACAAGCAAAUGGAGCUCUACCAUUCCCUGCCCUUUUUUUGCUAUUUACUGGGGAAGUGCUUCAAGAAGGGACUGAAAGGAAAGGGGUUGGUGCUGUUGAGCAAACUGGCAGGGACAGUGGUGCUGUCCUUCGCUGCCUGCUGGCUCCCGUUCGGCACCGACGUGGAACAAAUCAUGCAAGUACUCAGAAGACUCUUUCCCAUUGACAGAGGCUUGUUUGAGGAUAAAGUAGCCAAUAUUUGGUGCAGUCUAAGUGUCCUUAUAAAGAUAAAGAAUGUAGUGUCACCUCAAACUCAGCUCAAACUCAGUUUUGCUGUGACAUUCCUGAGCCUGCUUCCUGCCUGUAUCAAACUCACUGUCCAGCCUUCCCUCAGAGGGUUUAAAUUUGCUUUGGUUAGUUGUGCCCUGUCAUUUUUCCUGUUCUCCUUUCAAGUCCAUGAAAAAUCCAUUCUUCUGGUGGCACUCCCAGUUUGCUUAAUCAUAAAUGAAAUCCCCUUUAUGGCCACGUGGUUCUUACUCGUAUCAACCUUCAGCAUGCUGCCUCUCCUGCUGCGGGACGGGCUGCUCCUGCCCUAUGCCGUGACCAUGCCAGCAUUCCUGGCCACCUGCCUGGCCUCCUUCUCCAUCCUGGACAAGACCUCAGCAGAGGACCUGCAGCUCAAAGCGUUCUCCCUUUCCCUGAAGGGAUAUGUGUCUUGGUUUAAGUCCUUUCCCAGGAUUGUCAGGACUCUGUUCCUCCUUUCCCUGUCCCUGAUGGGUGUCCUGUCUCUCCUGAGUGCUGCAGUGCCUCCUCCCCAGAGCCUCCCGGAUUUGUUCCCUGUAUCCGUGUCCAUUGUUUCCUGCUUACACUUCUUAUUAUUUCUGGUCUAUUUUAACGUUGUGAUACUCUGGGACUCCAAGAAUAGCAAAAGCCAGAAGAAAAUCAGUUAAUCCACCUGUGGAGCUCCAGGACUGAAGUGUGCAGGACAGAGUGCGUUUGCGUCAAAAGCAUAAGGAAGUCACGCAGGUAAAGUCGAAACACUGGACUGGCAGCUCUGAAUUUGUGCUGCUGAAUUGUUUUACGACACAAACUUUCCUCCAUCGCGACAUUUGUGCCUUCACUGUUGGUCAGCAGCUCUGAUCCAAGUGGUUCUAACACCUCUGCAGCCUUAGGACUCAACAGCUGUCUCUUCAGCAGGACUGAAAAGCCAAAACCUCUUCUUUCUCCUGCAGUAAAAGCUGAGGUGCUGCAGUGCAGUUGGAAACCAGAGCUUCUGAGUAAGUUAAAGCACAUAAACCCAAAGAGAACACUCACACAACUCCUGGGUGAGGAUGGAUGAGAGCAGAGAAGCUGGAAAAAGGGCAUGUGGAGGGGACCAGAAGGCACCUGGGCUGCAGCAGAAGAGGUGGGUGGUGUAGGCCCAGCUUGUUCCUCUCCUCAGCUUCAAUUUUAGGGUUCCCAGGAUAAGGGAGGAGCUGGAAUCACCCCAACCCUAUUCCUGCAGGGUUGGCAGAGCCCUCACUGCCCUCGGACGUGGCAUCUCUCGGCCCACAGGAGCAUUAAAAGGGCUGGAUCUUCCCAAGUUUCCUUCCCCUUCCUAGUUCCCCUGCCACUCUUCCCCAAGUUUGACUGCUCUAAAACAUUUACAGAUCUAAAAAGCAGAGAGAAAAAAAAUGUUCACCUGUCGGGUGAUAUAAAACCAAUCUUCUACUAAAUGUGCCAGAAUAAUUUUUCUCCACCUCAACCACAGUUAAAACCUUCAGUCUAUUCAUUACUGUCUUUUUAUAGUAUUUUUAUUUAAUAAAACCUAUUAAGACUACCAUACAAAUCUCUUUACUUAUGCUUUUAUCUUUUAACUGAUCAAUUUUUAUAUUGCUGACAUCCCUUCUUCACCAUUUGCUCAUUUAAAAAUUCAUAGUAUAUGAGCUCUGUCUCUGGAGAAAACGUCUAUAAAAUUUGUUACAGCUGGCAAAUGUGUAUGAGUCAGUGAUAGCACAUGACUAAAUGCUUCACAGAAAAUAAAAUUUGUUUCUGUAGUAAGCAGAACUGUUUAAAUGUUAUUUAUUUUUAUGUUUCAAAGAAAAUAUAUUGUGAAGUGCUGCAUUGAUUUAAUAGGCAGCAAUGUCUGUGUACACGCUGUACCCGGGAAAUUUAUGAAACCUUUGCACAACUCCUUUAAUUGAAUUUUCCAAAUCUCUCACCACACACAAAUAAUCAAUAUCUUCUGCAGAGAAAACCAGUCAGAAUUAUUACAGUCUUUCUUUUCAAUUUUGUUGUCAUCAGCACAUACAGAGCACCUGGAUAUUUGUAAUGUCUGGAUGGCAAGUUAUUUACACCUCUUAAACAUAUAAUUGCUACUAAGUGAGUCCAAACUAAUGUUUCUUUUCUUUUUUAUUUAAAAUAAUUAUAUUCAUGGGACAAAGCAGUAUUUAUUGUGCUGGAGGAGUUGCUACAUGUAGCUGUUGGAAGAACUACAAUUCUUCUGAAUUUUUCAUUAAGCUUAAUACUCUCAACUAGAUCCACUAGAAUUAAAAAUUAAUAGCUGUUGUGUCUCUAAAAAGGUAAAUAGGAAAAUAGAGAGUAAAUAUGAGUGGGAAAUCUGUGAAUAAAUGGGGCUGCCACCCAAAUGUGAAAUGCAGGGUGACAGUUCUGGGUGUGCCACACUCAUAUGUCUCACGUGCAUUUCUGGGUCUGCCACAGCAGGUAAUGGCUUAAUAUUUUAUCUGCAUAGCACAGGGUGUUCCAUCACUGCAGCUCUGGAACCUGCUCCUUCCUUCCAGCCCAAAGCUCCUCCUCACACCCAGAGAGACUCCUCAAACCUCGGGCUGGACUCUAAAAUAUGGACUCUGAUGGAGUGGGUGCACCCAACAGCCCCAAGUCCUGCUGGGAAGGAGCAGUGGAAACCUCCCCCCAGCUCCUCUGCCAGGACAACUCCUCCUUGUUCCAGGAAAAGUGCUGGCACUGCAGAUUUUGGGGACUGGGUGAGUGGGUUUUGUUACCUUUCCAGAUUGGGAGGGACUUGCUCGGUCCCAGACUAAACCAGACUCCCCUGCACAGACCAAGGGAUGGUGUAGACAAACUGAGCUGCAGCAACAGCAGCUCCUCGUGGGCAGGACAGAGAUCAGAGCCCAGCCCACACCUGGGAGAACUGACACACCCUUGCCGUGUCUGAUGGGGGAAAGGCCUCAGGAGCACAAACACGGACAUCCUUCCACAGGGAAGAGCAGCUGAACGAGGCCAGACCUCUCCAACACCACAGAGCUCUGACUGCUUGGAGCUGAGUCCCCAGAGACACAGGACACAACACUCCGAGGGUUUCGGCUCCCAGGAAUCAUCUCCCAGUUGGAAUGUGUGCUGAGCCUCUCUCUAAUCUCUGCCUAUGCAGCCUGCCUGGGGCUGGGCUCGCUGAACUCGGUUGAUCAUCAGGCUUUAGACUGUGUUUUUUCAGAAAAUGUUACUUUUUAAUUCAGUUCCUAUUUUAGUUUCAGAACCUUUCUGACCAGGCCAAGAGGGCAACAUCUCCUGGCUGGAUGUGCAGUCGGGAGAACCGAGGGCACCACCAGGGACGUGAACUCAGGGCAGACAUUUGGGACGAGAGGCAAAACACCCAACCUGGCCCAAGAAACUAUUUCCCUUUCUGGUUCGGAAGAGCAGGAGGAAUGAACUUCAGAACCUCUGACUUGGAGGAAGGAUAAAGAGUUUCCUAAAAAUGGACACAUAAUUCUGACCAAUGAACUUCUCACUUGGGACUGCAGCUUCAGGAACCUGCAUCCAGAAAAGGUAACACAAUUCCAAUUACUCUCAUCAGCACUCACUGAAAUUCCAUGUUUGCAAUGUUUCCCAG